GUAAUCGAUACUCCACGCUGCACCUUACCCCCCCUUGCUACCCCAAUCUAUAUACCGCCGUCGCCAGCUCACAAUGUGAAUGUACCACCGUGAGCAAAAUUAUUAAACCAUAAAAACGACAGGUCAAGGUGUAGUUUACGGGGGGGGAGAGAUGGGCUACAUUUUCUCCACCAGAAAAUACCACCCGCACCGUGAAAUCUANNCUNNNNGGNGGAUUUAGAAGUAAGCCUGGCAAGACGUGCCAACCUGAAAAAGCUCUGGGAUG
rnacentral:rRNA from 1 species